CUAUUAUAUUAUUAAUAGCACAAUUUUCGGCUCUUAGAAAAAAAGAUGUAUGAUUAAAAUGAUAGUGAUCUUAGAGUUAAGUUGGUGGGUAGUUGAAUAGUAUAAUCUAAUAGAUAGAAAUGGUCUAAGAAAUAGAUUUAACGGCGGAAAACUUGAUAGCAUCAGGCGCUUGGUGCUAUCGAUAGUAUAGUAGCUAGACUCUAAAUUAAAUAACACGGCUAGAGCUUCUAUAUUUUUAUUAGUAUAGAUCUCUUUAUACUCAAAAAUUUUUUAUUGUUGGAUGAAGAGAUGUACGGUUAGAUUGAUAGUCGUCCCGCUAGUAUUAAAUGAAUAGUUGGUUAAAUAGUAUAAUCUACCGGUACUUACAUAUACUCAUAAAGAGUAUAGUAGCCGGACUCCAAAUAACACACAAAAAUUUCUCCAUCUAGAGACAACUUUAACCCCUCCGU
rnacentral:lncRNA from 1 species